rnacentral:lncRNA from 1 species
AACCAAUACAUCACAAUGAGGGUGGUGAACCCCCUUUGAGUCUUCCUGGGAGAAGGUGAUUGGGGUCAUCCUAUUUGCUGCUUGCGAUUCAUUGACAAUGUAAGUGAUCAUUGGGGGGUCCUUUGCUUUCCUUGUGUAAUUUCUCUGGACAUUCCUGGUGUUGCCACCGACGUGGGGUCCCCCAAUGAUAGUAUCGAUCACCCUGAUGACUUGGCUUCCAGAAAACUGGGCUCGGUUUCCCUGUCUUGAUUGACCUCGGUCCCUUGAUUCUCUUCUACGAGGAGAUUGUUCCCUGUGACCUCUCCCUCCCCUUCUCGGGGAGGCAAAUCUGCGAGGGUAUUCGUCCUUGCUGGAAGGGUGCGGGUUACUUCGAUCAGGGCAUCGAUUGGCAUCUCGGCACUCACUUGUGUCAUGUCCAUAGAGUUGAUGGAACGUACAAAACCUUGCCCCUUCCAAGGGUCUGUUUGACAUUUUCUUCUUCUUCUUGUUAUUAGCUCUUCCAGAUGGUCCCGCUUCGGCAGGGGCAUUAUCAUAUGCCAAUACCGGUACUGCAUUCAAUGUGGCGAAAGCUAGGGCCUGUCCGGAUGUGGGAGCUAUUGUAUGACCUGCUUGGGUCCAUUGCCGUGUAACAAGGUGUGCUGCGGGUCCUCGACCUACGUGCCUUUGAGGAGGAGGGAGUCCCUGCGUGGCACGGUUGUGAUGAUGAAUCAUUUAUUCACUAACAAUUUUCACUCUCAUCAUUUCCACCAGCUCGUCAUAUGUGGAGGGAUUCUUGCUACGCACGUCCCUCCAAAACAAAGUGUUCAUAUUGAGCCCACCUUUUAGGGCUGAAAGGGUUUCGCUGUCAGUGACCUGUUCGCAGU